rnacentral:tRNA from 1 species
AUUUUGUGUCUAUAUAGAUUAUAUUGUUAGAUCA